UUAAAUUUGUAAGGGCGUAUGGUGGAUGCCUUGGCAUUAGAAGCUGAUGAAGGACGUGACUAACUACGAUAUGCUUCGGGGAGAUGUACGUAAUCUUUGAUCCGGAGAUUUCCGAAUGGGGGAACCCACUAGUGGUAAUGCGCUAGUAUCACAUGGUGAAUAUAUAGCCAUGUAGAAAGCAACCCAGUGAACUGAAACAUCUUAGUAACUGGAGGAACAGAAAGAAAAAUCGAUUUCCUUAGUAGUGGCGAGCGAAAUGGAAAGAGCCCAAACCGACUUUAGAGUCGGGGUUGUAGGACCUCUGUAUAAGAGUAAGAAAAUCAUAACAUAGUUGAACUAUUCUGGAAAGUUUGGCGAAACAAGGUGAUAGCCCUGUAAACGAAAUGUUAUGGUCUCUUUGAGGUAUCCUGAGUACAGCGAGUCACGUGGAAUCUUGUUGGAAUCUGCGGGGACCAUCCCGCAAGGCUAAAUACUCUCUAGUGACCGAUAGUGAACAAGUACCGAGAGGGAAAGGUGAAAAGAACCCCGGGAGGGGAGUGAAAUAGAAUACUGAAACCAUGUGCUUACAAGAAGUCAGAGCUCGUUAAAGAGUGAUGGCGUGCCUUUUGCAGAAUGAACCGGCGAGUUAUUGUAUCAUGCAAGGUUAAGUUGAAGAGACGGAGCCGAAGCGAAAGCGAGUCUUAAUAGGGCGAUAUAGUAUGAUGUAAUAGACCCGAAACCGAGUGAUCUAGCCAUGAGCAGGUUGAAGUUUGGGUAAAACCAAAUGGAGGACCGAACCGACGUACUAGGAAACGUGCGCGGAUGACUUGUGGCUAGCGGUGAAAUUCCAAACGAACUCGGAUAUAGCUGGUUCUCCCCGAAAUAGGUUUAGGCCUAGCCUUGAGAAAAUGCCCUUUGGAGGUAGAGCACUGAAUACAUGAUGGCGGCACCUAGCUGUACUGAGUGUAAUCAAACUCCGAAUGCCAAAGAAAGUAGUCUCAGGAGUCAGUGUAUGGGUGAUAACGUCCGUACGCAAAAGGAAAAGAAUCCAGAUCGCCAGCUAAGGUCCCAAAAUAUAUGCUAAGUGGGAAAGGAUGUGGAGUUGUCAAAACAGCUAGGAGGUUGGCUUAGAAGCAGCCACCCUUUAAAGAGUGCGUAAUAGCUCACUAGUCGAGUGACACUGCGCCGAAGAUGUACCGGGGCUAAGCAUAUUACCGAAGCUGCGAAUUUAUACGAUAAGUAUAAGUGGUAGGGGAGCGUUCUAAUUGCGGAGAAGGCAGAUCGAGAGGACUGUUGGAGCGAUUAGAAGUGAGAAUGCCGGUAUGAGUAGCGCAAGAUGGGUGAGAAUCCCAUCCACCGUUUGCCUAAGGGUUCCUGGGGAAGGUUCGUCCUCCCAGGGUAAGUCAGGACCUAAGACGAGGCCGAAAGGCGUAGCCGAUGGACAACAGGUUUAUAUUCCUGUACCACCUAUAUAACUGAGGGAAUGACGAAGGAAGCUAGGGAGAGCCAGUUAAUGGAUUCUGGUCUAAGCACAAAGGCUAGUAUGCUAGGAAAUCUGUAAUACUAAGUAGCUGAAGUGUGAUGGUGAAUGUAGUAGAGAUACUACAGAAAUCUCUUGACGCUAAACUUCCAAGAAAAGUUUCUAGGGUUAAUUAUAUAGGUGCCUGUACCAAGAACCGACACAGGUGGGCAAGGAGAGUAUCCUAAGGUGAGCGAGAGAACUAUGGUUAAGGAACUCGGCAAAAUGACUCCGUAACUUCGGGAGAAGGAGUGCUCGAGCGAUCGAGCCGCAGUGAAUAGGCCCAGGCAACUGUUUACCAAAAACACAGGUCUCUGCUAAGUCGAAAGACGAUGUAUAGGGGCUGACGCCUGCCCAGUGCUGGAAGGUUAAGAGGAGAGCUUAGCUUGACGCAAGUCGAUGUGCGAAGGCUCGAAUUGAAGCCCCAGUGAACGGCGGCCGUAACUAUAACGGUCCUAAGGUAGCGAAAUUCCUUGUCGGGUAAGUUCCGACCCGCACGAAAGGUGUAAUGAUCUGGGCACUGUCUCGACCAUAGACUCGGUGAAAUUUUAAUACCUGUGAAAAUGCAGGUUACCCGCGACAGGACGGAAAGACCCCGUGGAGCUUUACUGCAGCUUGAUAUUGGGAUUCGGAUUGUUAUGUAGAGAAUAGGUGGGAGACUAUGAAGUUAGGACGCUAGUUCUAAUGGAGUCGACGUUGGAAUACCACCCUUAAUAAUCUGGAUUUCUAACCUGGUACCGUGAAACCGGUAUAGGGACAGUGUCUGGUGGGCAGUUUGACUGGGGCGGUCGCCUCCUAAAAAGUAACGGAGGCGCUCAAAGAUUCCCUCAGAAUGGUUGGAAAUCAUUCGAAGAGUGUAAAGGUAUAAGGGAGUUUGACUGCGAGACCAACAAGUCAAGCAGGUGCGAAAGCAGGACUUAGUGAUCAGGCGAUUCAGUAUGGAAUGGUCGUCGCUUAACGGAUAAAAGUUACCCCGGGGAUAACAGGCUGAUACCACCCAAUAGUUCACAUAGACGGUGGUGUUUGGCACCUCGAUGUCGGCUCGUCACAUCCUGGAGGUGAAGUCGCUUCCAAGGGUUGGGCUGUUCGCCCAUUAAAGUGGCACGCGAGCUGGGUUCAGAACGUCGUGAGACAGUUCGGUCCCUAUCCGUCGUGGGCGUAGGAAAAUUGAGGAGAGCUGUUCCUAGUACGAGAGGACCGGAACGGACAUACCUCUGGUGUAUCUGUUGUAACGCCAGUUGCAGUGCAGAGUAGCUAUGUAUGGAAUGGAUAACCGCUGAAAGCAUCUAAGCGGGAAGCCAACUUCAAGAUGAGUUUUCCCAUUUUUAAUAAAGUAAGAUCCCAGAAAGACUAACUGGUUGAUAGGCUAGAGGUGGAAGCAUGGCAACAUGUUGAGCUGACUAGUACUAAUAGAUCGAGGAUUUAAUCAU
rnacentral:rRNA from 1 species